rfam:Picea glauca, whole genome shotgun sequence.
ACAUGCCUACAACAUAGCGUUAAUGCACUGGAUCCCAUCAGAACUUAGUAGUUAAGCGUGCCUAGGCUAGAGUAGUACUGGGAUGGGUGAGCGCACGGGAAGUCCUAGUGUUUUACAUGCC